rnacentral:rRNA from 1 species
AUGCCGACCAAGGCCAGGCGGGCGCCAGGCGGGCGCAGAGCGCAGAUUUCCUCUUCGGUGCAAAGGAGGCAAGCCACAGGCGCGGAGUCCCGAGGAACCAGCCAAAGGUUUUCAUUCUGGUGCAACAAGAUUGAGACCGCCAGGACGGCAGGACGGAGGUCAUCGACGAGCCCACCGCAGCGUCACGAGCAAAGGCUUUUCGCAGGAGAAGACUACUUUUGUCAGGAUAAGCUGUACUACUUGUCCCCUUUCAAAUCCGGCCAUUGUGGGAUCCCUUCCCGCCAACAUUUGGGAAGAGGACCAAGGCCACUAUAA